rnacentral:tRNA from 1 species
AUCUUUAUAGUGUAAUUAACAUAUAUCACUUUCGUUGAUAAGAAGAAAAUUUCUUAAGAUA